GACGAACGCUGGCGGCGUGCUUAACACAUGCAAGUCGAACGGGUCUGCCCUGUUUUUUGCGGGGUGGGUCAGUGGCGAACGGGUGAGUAACACGUGAGUAACCUGCCCCUCACUUCUGGAUAACCGCUUGAAAGGGUGGCUAAUACGGGGUGUUCUGGCUGUGCCGCAUGGUGUGGCUGGGAAAGAUUCACUUUUGUGGUGUUUUGGUGGGGGAUGGGCUCGCGGCCUAUCAGCUUGUUGGUGGGGUGAUGGCCUGCCAAGGCUUUGACGGGUAGCCGGCCUGGGAGGGUGGGCGGUCACACUGGGACUGAGAUACGGCCCAGACUCGUGCGGGAGGCAGCAGUGGGGGGUAUUGCACAAUGGGCGGAAGCCUGAUGCAGCGACGUCGCGUGAGGGAUGGAGGCCUUCGGGUUGUGAACCUCUUUCGCCGGUGAAGAAGGUCCUGCUCUUUGUGGUGGGGUUGACGGUAGCCGGGUUAUGAAGCGCCGGCUAACUACGUG
rnacentral:rRNA from 1 species